UACGGAGGGAGCUAGCGUUGUUCGGAAUUACUGGGCGUAAAGCGCACGUAGGCGGCUACUCAAGUCAGAGGUGAAAGCCCGGGGCUCAACCCCGGAACUGCCUUUGAAACUAGGUGGCUAGAAUCUUGGAGAGGUCAGUGGAAUUCCGAGUGUAGAGAUGAAAUUCGUAGAUAUUCGGAAGAACACCAGUGGCGAAGGCGACUGACUGGACAAGUAUUGACGCUGAGGUGCGAAAGCGUGGGGAGCAAACAGG
rnacentral:rRNA from 1 species